rnacentral:tRNA from 1 species
GGGCCGGUAGCUCAACAGGCAGAGCAAAAGACUUUUAAUCUUUAGGUUGAGGGUUCGAGUCCCUCCCGGCUCACCA